UACCAAAUUUGGCCGACCAUUAAAAAUCUCAUUAUUGUGGCAAACAAAAAAGGCACGACAUAAACACCCCGCAUAAACAUAAAAUUUGAUGACAUGAAAAAACGCGCUGCCUCGCAUAAAUUUAGCGAAUCAAUGAAAACGAUUAUCAGGCUUUGUAAUGAUGAAUUCGAAAUGAGAUUGAAAGAGAUGACUGGGGAUGUGUGUGAUGAGUGAGUCUACACGUGCCCAGGGAAUACAGGGAUCCACAUUUUAAGUACAGGGUAUAUGCUACAAAUAAUAUUGAUUUAAUGCCAAUAUCAACAGCUGGUCCAUAAUGUAACCCAUACCAACUAUAUUUGGCACACACGCGUGUCUGCAUCUCAAUCCGCAGUGUUAGGGGAUUGUAUAGGGGAUUC
ensembl:ncRNA lncRNA:CR44697 long non-coding RNA:CR44697